UAUGUAGGGGGCAAGCGUUGUCCGGAAUCAUUGGGCGUAAAGAGCGCGUAGGCGGCCCAGUAAGUCCGCUCUGAAAGUCAGGGGCUCAACCCCUGGAUGCGGGUGGAUACUGCUGGGCUAGAGUCCGGAAGAGGUGAGUGGAAUUCCUGGUGUAGCGGUGAAAUGCGCAGAUAUCAGGAGGAACACCGGUGGCGAAGGCGGGUCUCUGGGCCUUACCUGACGCUCAGGUGCGAAAGCUAGGGGAGCGAACAGG
rnacentral:rRNA from 1 species